AUGAGCCUUGGUUUGAAGGGAAUGCAGUCACCUGCAGAAUGGCCUUCUAAGUCACCAUGUAGCCCACUGUGGGAAUUCCUGUGGACUGUAAACCCGGACGUGGAAUUGUUUGUGGCACAAGAUCCUGGUGGUCCUCUGAUGUCGUCACCUGCAGAACUCCUUUGCUGGCCUCCUGUUCAUCUCCAGCUGUUCCUGGGUAGAGACACUGGCUGUGCAAACAUCCUUCCAGCCACGUUAGAGUCCAUGGGAAGGCAGGAGCAUAAGGACAACUCUUCUGAAUCUACUGCUGGUGGGAAGAUGGCCUUGGUGUCGACACAUGUAAUUACAAGGUAAUUGAAUUUCACUUGAUGAUCCAUCCUCACAGGCAACUGGGAAGCAACCUGUUGGGUAUCCUGUCAAUUUCUGGAAUUAAAGGAGAGCCAGUUGACUCCCUUGUAAGGAUGCCAGGGCAGGGAAGUGGGAAAUCCAAGACAAAGCCAGAGUCAUAGAAUCCCAGAAUGGGAACCCACCCUUCACUCCCUGAACUCCCAUGGUAAUGGAGAGAAGACAAAAAACGGUAUGGUGCCCAGAAGCUCAGAGCCCUUUUUUGACAGUCUAGCAUCACAGGAGUGGCAAUAUGACUUCCCAAGCUUGGCUUAAAGGAACGCAUGUGGACAAUACCUUUCAUAAUGUGAAAACUCAUUGUCCAGCUGCUGUAUUUCAGUUCGUGGCUACUUCAUUCUGCCACCCUCCAUCACCAUAACACCAUGACCAGAGAGGUGAGGGAAGGCCUGAAGGUGCAAUUCUUGCCUUCUGUUGAGUGAAGCUUAUCUUUGGCUGUGCUCCAGAGACCGUGUGCCAUAUAAUAUCCCCACAAGUACUGAUGAGUUUCUAGGUGGUUGGAAGGGCUCCUGCCGGCUUGACUUCAUGACUAACACUUGAGUCCAUGCCUGACUGCCUUCAUGUCCAGCACUAACAGAUCAGGUACAUACCAGAGGUCUUGAGUGUCUUGCAUACCUUUGUAGCUUCAGACCCUAGAAGAGUGCCUGGCAUACAGGUACCCAAGAUUGUUGAGUCAGAGAAUGAAUGCACAUUCCAGCCAGGGAAAGGGGAUGUGGAAACCAUCUAGGACAAGAGGCUAUGCAGGUUUCCCUGUGUGGUCCUGUUUGCUAGAUAUAAGAAGACCCACGAUGUGAGAAGCCAGGACCUGGGGAACUCAUGUAAGGUAUAUAGAGGGCAGGUUAUGAAUUCAGACUCUCCUCCCUCUGCAAUCCCCAAGGUUGAUUCUUACUCAAAUUCUAAUUUAUGGUCUCCCCUUUUAAGCAUCUUUAAAUAUCAUUCAGUCAAUACCUCUCUCCUUCCAAUGCAGAAAUGCUUCCUACAAUAGUCCACACAAGUGAUCAACCAGCCUUCUGUCACAGCUGCAGUGACAGGGAGCUCUUACCUUCCAAAGCAGCUCAGUCUGUUGGGCAUGCCUCUACUACAAUGCACAGAAAUCUGCUCUGGCCAUUUCUACCUUCUGGUUCUGAGUCUGACCUCCAAAACUCUCUAGAAGCCUGAUUUACCCUGUCCCAAGUCUUAACAUUCCUUUAAAUGUUUGAUGACAGACAUCAUGCCCCUGAAUCUUUGCUUCUCAAGAGAAAUAGUCCCAGUUCUUACAACAGUUUUUUGCAUGAUAUGAUCCUUGAGACCCUUCAUUUUCUGGCCAUGUCUUGAAGCAUAAUGUCCCACUAGGGGCAGCCUUAAAGUAAAAUGGGGCUAUCUCAUGUUAUCCCCUUGACCCAGAUGAUGGUGGGAGGAGUUGGCUGAGCCAGUUGACUUUCUGUCUCAGAAGGGAUCUUUGUACAUGUGUCCACCUGCACAAAAGUCUUGGGUACCAGGGUAGUUUCUCUAUUUGGACAUCUGCUAUUCUUAUUCCUCUGGGAAAUGCCACAGGAUUGACCUGAGCCUUUUGCAGUCAACCUAUUUUAUUCCCCUUGUUUGGCAUUGACUGGCCUAAGUGGGUGCCUAGAAAAUGUUAGGGGAAUUAAUAAAUGCAUUUAGGUGCAAAACCUGGGCACAGUCAAGACUAGUCUGAGAGCAAGUGCUUAAAAAAAUUCCUGAGCCCCAAGAGCUACCUGUUUCAGUCACAUGAUGGUCUGACAGGGAUGCUGGAGUCUUAUCUCUCAUCCUUUCUGUCUGUCUGUCUCUUUCUGUUUUUUGGAGUUCAGCUCUCUUUUCCUCUCCAAGCCCUCCCUCCCUCGCUGGCCCCUUUGUCGACACUUGAUCAUUUACAUCAAGUUGACAUUCGCAGAGUUUACUCAGGGGUCUGUAAUUGUAUUCUUUCCCUGGUUCUGCAUUACCAACCAUGAAAAUGGAAUCUUAUCAUCCCUGACCAAUUUUUAAUGUACAAAAUGAUUUGGCUGAGGUUCAAAGGGAAGCACAAUUGAAAUCAGGUGAAUGAUACAUGUAGUUUUUUCAGUUGCUCCGUGCUUAGAUUUGAUUUUUUUUCCAGUAUAGCAUAGAAGAAGUAGAUUAUUUUUGCAAGUUAUAGAAGUGCAUUUCUGUG
rnacentral:lncRNA from 1 species